rnacentral:rRNA from 2 species
UGUGAGGUUAAGCGACUAAGCGUACACGGUGGAUGCCCUGGCAGUCAGAGGCGAUGAAGGGCGUGCUAAUCUGCGAUAAGCGCCGGUAAGGUGAUAUGAACCGUUAUAACCGGCGAUACCCGAAUGGGGAAACCCAGUGUGAUUCGUCACACUAUCAUUAACUGAAUCCAUAGGUUAAUGAGGCGAACCGGGGGAACUGAAACAUCUAAGUACCCCGAGGAAAAGAAAUCAACCGAGAUUCCCCCAGUAGCGGCGAGCGAACGGGGAGGAGCCCAGAGCCUGAAUCAGCAUGUGUGUUAGUGGAAGCGUCUGGAAAGGCGCGCGAUACAGGGUGACAGCCCCGUACACAAAAGCGCAUGUGCUGUGAGCUCGAUGAGUAGGGCGGGACACGUGGUAUCCUGUCUGAAUAUGGGGGGACCAUCCUCCAAGGCUAAAUACUCCUGACUGACCGAUAGUGAACCAGUACCGUGAGGGAAAGGCGAAAAGAACCCCGGCGAGGGGAGUGAAAAAGAACCUGAAACCGU